GGGCCACUAGCUCAACUGGUAGAGCAUCUCCCUCUUAAGGAGGUGGUUCUGGGUUCGAGUCCCAGGUGGCUCA
rnacentral:tRNA from 1 species